rnacentral:rRNA from 1 species
CCUACGGGUGGCAGCAGUGAGGAAUAUUGGUCAAUGGGCGAGAGCCUGAACCAGCCAAGUCGCGUGAAGGAUGACGGCCCUACGGGUUGUAAACUUCUUUUGUCAGGGAGCAAUUUGGUCCACGCGUGGGCUUAGCGAGAGUACCUGAAGAAAAAGCCUCGGCAAUCUCCGUGCCAGCACCCGCGGAAAUACGAAGGAUGGGCGGGAUACCCGGAUUUUUUGGGUUAAAGGGGUGCGUAGGCGGAAUAUCAAGUUAGCGGUAAAAGUUCGGGGCUCAACCCCGUCGUGCCGUUGAAACUGGUGUUCUUGAGUGGGCGGGAAGUAUGCGGAAUGCGUGGUGUAGCGGUGAAAUGCAUAGAUAUCACGCAGAACUCCGAUUGUGAAGGCAGCAUACGGGCGCCCAACUGACGCUGAAGCACGAAAGCGUGGGUAUCGAACAGGAUUAGAUACCCUAGUAGUC